rnacentral:rRNA from 1 species
GUUUUUUUAGAAAUAAAUUUAAUUUACAAAUUUUUAAUUUUUUAUUUAUUUAUUUAAUUAAAAAAAUUAUUAAUUUGAAUAUUUUAAGGGAUAAGCUUUAAAAUAAAUUGUUAAAAAUUAAUAGAUUAAAUAUAAAAUGUAUGAAUAGAAUUUUCAAUCAUUUAUGAGUUUGUUAUAAAUUAUUUUAUAACUUGUAUUAUUUAUUAUAAUUUUAAAUUUUUAUAAAAAUUUUUUCAUAAAUUUUUUAUGAAAAUUAAUAAUGAUAAAAUUAGUAUAUUAAUAUUGUAUAUAUAAUUUUAUAUGAUAAGUUUAUGUAAAGAACUCGGCAAAUUUAUAUACUCGCCUGUUUAACAAAAACAUGUCUUUUUGAGUUAUUUUUAAAGUCUGACCUGCCCACUGAAUAAAUUUAAAUGGCCGCAGUAUUUUAACUGUGCAAAGGUAGCAUAAUCAUUAGUUUUUUAAUUGAAGGCUGGUAUGAAUGGUUGGUCGAAGUAUAAACUGUUUCAUGUAAAUUUAUUAUAGAAUUUUAUAUUUUAGUUAAAAAGCUAAAAUUUAAUUAAAAGACGAGAAGACCCUAUAAAUCUUUAUAUUUAUUAUUAUUUUAAUUUUUUGGAUAUAUUUUGUUUUAAUAAUAAUAAUUAUUUUGUUGGGGUGAUGUUAAAAUUUAAUAAACUUUUAAUUAUUAAAAUCAUUAAUUUAUGAUUUAUUGAUCCGUUAAUAGCGAUUAUAAGAUUAAGUUACUUUAGGGAUAACAGCGUAAUUUUUUUGGAGAGUUCUUAUCGAUAAAAAAGUUAGCGACCUCGAUGUUGGAUUAAGAUAUAUUUUUAGGUGUAGCCGCUUAAAUAUU